rnacentral:tRNA from 2 species
GCGCGAGUGGUGAAAUUGGCAGACACGCAGGAUUUAGGUUCCUGUGCCUUACGGCGUGAGGGUUCAAGUCCCUCCUUGCGCACCA